CGGAGAGUAGCUCAGCCUGGUAGAGCACUACGUUCGGGACGUAGGGGUCGUGGGUCCGAAUCCCGUCUCUCCGACCA
rnacentral:tRNA from 1 species